UACGAAGGGGGCAAGCGUUGUUCGGAAUCACUAGGCGUAAAGGGCGCGUAGGCGGCCAUUCAAGUCGGGGGUGAAAGCCUGUGGCUCAACCACAGAAUUGCCUUCGAUACUGUUUGGCUUGAGUUUGGUAGAGGUUGGUGGAACUGCGAGUGUAGAGGUGAAAUUCGUAGAUAUUCGCAAGAACACCAGUGGCGAAGGCGGCCAACUGGACCAACACUGACGCUGAGGCGCGAAAGCGUGGGGAGCAAACAGG
rnacentral:rRNA from 1 species